CCAACACUACAGACAGUAGGUU
rnacentral:snRNA from 1 species